rnacentral:rRNA from 1 species
AUUGAACGCUGGCGGCAUGCCUUACACAUGCAAGUCGAACGGUAACAGGGAGCUUGCUCCGCUGACGAGUGGCGAACGGGUGAGUAAUGUAUCGGAACGUACCUUUUAGUGGGGGAUAACGUAGCGAAAGUUACGCUAAUACCGCAUAUUCUCAGAGGAGGAAAGCAGGGGACCUUCGGGCCUUGCGCUAAUAGAGCGGCUGAUAUCAGAUUAGCUAGUUGGUGAGGUAAAGGCUCACCAAGGCGACGAUCUGUAGCUGGUCUGAGAGGACGACCAGCCACACUGGGACUGAGACACGGCCCAGACUCCUACGGGAGGCAGCAGUGGGGAAUUUUGGACAAUGGGCGCAAGCCUGAUCCAGCAAUGCCGCGUGCAGGAAGAAGGCCUUCGGGUUGUAAACUGCUUUUGUACGGAGCGAAAAGGCUCUCUCUAAUACAGGGGGCUCAUGACGGUACCGUAAGAAUAAGCACCGGCUAACUACGUGCCAGCCGCCGCUGUAAAAC